rnacentral:tRNA from 1 species
GGGGGUAUAGCACAGUAGGUUAGUGCGCUGGUCUGUCACGCCAGAGGUCGUGGGUUCAAAUCCCACUACUCUC